rnacentral:lncRNA from 1 species
CAAAAUGCUCGUGGGACCAGGAAGAGGGUGAGGGGGGUGUAGGGUUUAUACUAUCAGACAAAGGUUAGGGUUAUUGGCUGUUAGGGGUUAUGAUCUCAUUAAUUAUGUUUUGACUUUUAUUAAAUGAAGGAUAAAAAGGUAAAUUUGGAGGUGCAAGGAAAAAAAGGAAAGGUGGAGGGAGGAUCGCUCUUCAAGCUAAUGUUUUACCUGUUUCCCUCUUCAACCUGUUCUUAUUCAAAGUCAACUUAUUUUCCUAUAUCAUUCAAAAACAAUCAAAACCAUUAAUUACAAGAAUAUUAGGCC